CCUCCAUUAUCCGUAAUGGAAAGCAGGAGUUCCCUUCACAUAGCUCCGGUAAUCAGAUAAGGGAAGAGCGCAACAAUGGCGAUUUCUGCUUUAACCCUUACAUCAUCAUCAUCAUCUCCUAAUAUACGCACCGACCGACCCAUCACUCCCUCUAGACCCUCUUCUUCUUCUUCUCCUUCCACGUCACUCUCAUGUCUCUGUUCUUCUUCCUCCAAUUGCUCGCCGAAAUUCGCGAUCCCAGCCGCUAAGAAACGCGUUUCCAGCAUGGGCAUUUCCUUUCUUGCCGCUUCGAUUCUCGCUCUGACGCCGCUCGACGCGGACGCGACUCGAAUCGAGUACUACGCCACCACCGGAGACCCUCUCUGCGAGUACAGCUACGCUCGAUCCGGCCUCGGCUUCUGCGACAUCUCCGUCGGCUCCGGCGACGAGGCUCCGCGUGGACAACUCAUCAAUGUUCAUUACACAGCAAGGUUUGCAGAUGGGACAUUGUUUGACAGUAGCUAUAAACGUGCUAGACCCCUUACUAUGCGUAUUGGAGUCGGCAAGGUUAUUAGGGGUUUGGACCAGGGGAUUCUUGGGGGUGAAGGAGUACCCCCAAUGCGGAUAGGUGGAAAACGGAAGCUUCAAAUUCCGCCUCAUCUAGCGUAUGGACCAGAGCCUGCUGGAUGCUUUUCGGGUGACUGUAACAUACCUGCGAAUGCAACUCUGCUCUAUGAUAUCAAAUUUGUUGAAAUAUAUGCUGGAAGCAAUACAAGAUGAAAUCGGUCACCAACUUCAUUCAGCAAAGGAGAUCACCAUAUGUAUAUCAGAAACAGGAAGAAACAACGACGUGCUUGUCAUCAGAGUAUCUCUGACAUAAUCAAGAAUCAUCUCAGUAUGGUUUUGCAUCAUCCUGUCCUGUGGUUUUCAGGAGGAAACUGCUUCUGGGUUCCAGUGAAACUGCUUCAAAGAUCGAGUAUCUGAAGAACAGAUCAUGGUGAUAACACUGUAAUGAUUCAUAGGUUAUGCAUUUAUGGUGUAUAUAUGGAGAUAAUACUGUAAUGAUGAAGAAUUGAUCUUUAAGUCCAACUGUUGUGUAAUAAAAGCUUGCGUUUUUACCAGA